rnacentral:misc_RNA from 1 species
UCUCCGUUGGUGAACCAGCGGAGGGAUCAUUACAGGACUCGCAAGACUCCUUCACCCUGUGAACCUCACUACAAGCACGUUGCUUCGGCGGGUGUCCCGGCGGGGGUUUUCCCUCGCCGGGGCGCACAGCCCGCCGGCAGCCUACUAUACUCUGUCUCUUUGCGUUGGCAUCUCGAGAAGAAACAAACAAGUUAAAACUUUCAACAACGGGUCUCUUGGUUCUG